AUGAGAUGCAGUCAUCCGGUAUUGGUGUUAGUGGAAUGGAUUUUAUUAGUAUAUUAAUCCAACUUUUCUAACUUUAGUAAGAAAAGUGUAGGAUUUUGAAGUGCCAUGGGACAGCCGACAUUGAUGUUGUCAGUUGUUAUUUGAGAGAGAUUCUCUCCACGUCUGUUUAUCCUGUGAGUGAGGCUCUGUGCUGUAGCAUUUAUUGAGGAUGUUCUCCCUCACUCCUCCACUUGCCCCUUUAAGUUAGACAUUGUUACCUUCAUGUUUCAGGUAGGGAGACUAGGUCUGAGCAAAUGCAAUGUUCUUCAGGUUGAAGCACAUGCUGGAACUACCACGUACUAUACAGCCCAUUUCUCCAGUGCUCAAACCCCUUGCCUAUCUGCCCAGACUUCCUUUUCAGAGACCUUAUGUUCAGUCUUUGCUCCAGGCUAUGCUAAAACCUUAUGGUUAUUUUGUUGUUGCUCUUGUUUUAUUGGCUGGAGAGGUCAGGACCAUCAUCAUCCAUUUUAUAAAUGAUCAACCAAUCAUAAAUCAGUUGGUUCAUCACAUGCUCAAAACACCCCAGGUACUAAGCAGGAGGCCUUGCCACAUGGCUUUAAUUUCUGUCUGUUUUGUUUGUUGAUUUGUUUUGAGACAGGGUCAAGCUCUUGAUCCUGCACUUGCUAUGUGGGAUCACAGGCACACAGACCCAUACUCGGUAUGAUAACACCUUAGAAGAUGAGUCUCGGUUGUUUUCUGUCUUUGGUAUUCCUUGGCUGACAAGAAAGCAAGAAUGCCCAUGGGGCAUGAUAUCCUUCUUGCUGCUCACCUCCAAAUGCCCUUUGCCUUGAACCCUGAAUCCUAUCAUUUCCCUGUGGCCAAACUCAACACCACAGGAGCCCCUCUCUGUCAGGGAGGGAGGGACGAACAGUUCAGCUGUUUUCUUAUUUGGUUCUUCUCAUUCCCAGUUUAAAGUCCAAGUGCUGGAGGGGGAAACUUUUUAUAAGACAGGGUGUUGGUCAUAGUGCAUGCCUUUAAUCGCAGCACUCUGGAGGCAGAGUCAAGCACAGGUAGAUCUCUAUGAGUUUGAGGCCAGACUGGUCUACAGAGUGAGUUCCAGGACAUCCAGGGCUACACAGAGAAACCCUAUCUCAAAAGCACAAAAAGAAAAGAAAAAAGAAAAAAAUGUAGCAUGGGCUGUGCUCAAACUAAUACUCCUGCCUCAAGGAAUUCCUGUGGCUCAGAGACCGGACACUUUGACUUCCAAUUAAAAAACUAGCACUGAGCUGGAGAGAGAACACAGUGAUGAAGAGCUUGGCUUGUUCUUCCACGGGACCCAAGCUUGCUUCUUAGAACUACGUAACAGCUCACGCCUAGCUAUGGCUCUAAUGACACAGGAUCUGACACCCUCUGCUGACCUCCUUGGGCACACAUGGUGCCCAAACAUAGGUACAUGCAAACUAUCCAUAUGCAUACAAUUAAAGUGAAUAAAUACUUUAAAAAUACGUUAAUAAAUAAAACGAGCCCAGAAUCCAGGAAGGGAGAAAUAAACACCACCUUUUAUGAGAAGACUUGCAUAGAAUUUGUGACCAAUUUGAAGUCUCUAAAAAUAAAUUCAGAGAAGGAGCCAUUAUUAGUUGAAUGCAGUUAUUGAAGGCUGUAGACUCUCGAAUCAGAUUCUUACCCAGCCACUAGAUGAGAGUGAGGUGGACCUGCAGGCUGGUUUAUAAUGAAACCCUCAGAGCCCAUGGGUCCUAAAAUGUCAGUGGGGCGUGGGCCGGGUAGAACACAGUUUAAUCAUUUCAUUUGAUUAAUGAAUGAGGCAUAAAACAAUCUUGGGCUAUUCCCAGACUUGUGAGGCUUGGCUGAAUCCCUUCUGAGUCUCCUGCCUUGCAUCCCUGUUGCAGUAGAUUCUUCUGCAGCACAGAGUCAUGCAGCAGAAACGGGCCUAUGGCAAGAUGUACUCAAAACAAAAGUGACACCAGGUAUCUCUGAAGAGAAGGGAGAAUCAUCUGCUAUUGUCAUUUGUUUUAAAUACCACGGUCUUAUUCUGUAUGUGUUCCAUGUUGUCCAGGAACUUACAGUAUGGCACAGGCUAGUCUUAAAUUCACAGAAAUCUUCCUGCUUCAGCCUCCUGAGGACUUGAAUGAGAGGACCAAGCUACCAUGCCUGGUUAAAUGGAGUUUGGUCUUUAUGUGGAUUUGUAUGUCUGUGAUCUUCAGGGAGGAAACAAUGAUUACUUAUUCACUGCCUGAGAUAACAUUUACCUGCACACCUUGGACACAUUCCUUCUUGUUCCCUUAGAAAAUAUAUUUUCGAGUCCAACGCCUUAACCACUCGGCCAUCACAGCCGCAGAAAAUAUAUUUUCAAAACCAGGCGUGAUCGCUCACACCUAUGAUCCCAGCAUUCAGGAAGCAGAG
rnacentral:lncRNA from 1 species